rnacentral:rRNA from 1 species
GCUCAACCGAAGAAGUGCAUCGGAAACUGGGAAACUUGAGUGCAGAAGAGGACAGUGGAACUCCAUGUGUAGCGGUGAAAUGCGUAGAUAUAUGGAAGAACACCAGUGGCGAAGGCGGCUGUCUGGCCUGUAACUGACGCUGAGGCUCGAAAGUAUGGGUAGCAAACAGGAUUAGAUACCCUGGUAGUCCAUACCGUAAACGAUGAAUGCUAAGUGUUGGAGGGUUUCCGCCCUUCAGUGCUGCAGCUAACGCAUUAAGCAUUCCGCCUGGGGAGUACGGCCGCAAGGCUGAAACUCAAAGGAAUUGACGGGGGCCCGCACAAGCGGUGGAGCAUGUGGUUUAAUUCGAAGCUACGCGAAGAACCUUACCAGGUCUUGACAUACUAUGCAAAUCUAAGAGAUUAGACGUUCCCUUCGGGGACAUGGAUACAGGUGGUGCAUGGUUGUCGUCAGCUCGUGUCGUGAGAUGUUGGGUUAAGUCCCGCAACGAGCGCAACCCUUAUUAUCAGUUGCCAGCAUUAAGUUGGGCACUCUGGUGAGACUGCCGGUGACAAACCGGAGGAAGGUGGGGAUGACGUCAAAUCAUCAUGCCCCUUAUGACCUGAGCUACACACGUGCUACAAUGGAUGGUACAACG